UUAACUCAAAUUUGUAUGGACUUGGAACCGUUACCUACGUUUGCCGCUAGGGGCGCUGUUCAAACUGCACACAAAUUUGAAUUA
rfam:Bombyx mori DNA, contig: Bm_scaf21_contig15119, strain: p50T/Dazao, build 2, whole genome shotgun sequence.